GUCUCCAUAAAAACCCAAAAGGACAGGGUUUGAAGAGCUUCCAAAUAGCUGAACGCAUGGAGGUUCCUGGAGGGUGGUGUGCACUGGGAGGGCAUCGAACCACUGCACCCCUGCCCAUACCUUGCCCCACGCAUCUCUUCAUCUCUAUGGAACCCAUUCUUCAAAGAAGUCGUACUCAGAAGUCUGAUACAUUAAACAUGUAAAAGCCAAGCUGCUCUGCCUGAAGCGAUGUGGGGAGCCUGGAGUCCUGCUGAGGAAGGGACUGGGCCCUGUUUGAGGGGUGGAAACAGGAGGUUGGUAGAGAGACCUGCCCAAGGUGACUGAAGAAAGGAUGGGGAGUCAUCACGUGAGGACAGGGAUUUGAGGGCAGGCAGCUCCCGCACAGCAGAACACUUUUAGAUUGGAAAGAUUUUGAUCAUCUCAAAAGUCUUGGAUAUAAAAAUUCAGUCUGUGUGGCAGGGAACAGCUCACUCCUGACUGGUUGAAGAUAGGAGGUUGAAGAAAUAAAUGAACUUGAAGCAGACUUGAAGUUUCAUGCCUGAGAUCCUAAAGUAAGAUAAUGUUUGUAAGGCUGAUUGCUAAUCAAGAUGCCUUAUUUCUCAGAUUUUUUUAAUCUGAAUUAUUCCUUCCUCAACCAACAUCCCGAUUUAGGAGCUGUUAUAAGUCAUCACUCAAGAUAAGGAUUUAAAAGGACUGGAUUGCAAAUGCAGCCAGCAAAGCUUAGAAGCCUAAAGGGGUGGGAAAAUGAACUCCCCAAUAUGGGAAAUAAAUGGCAGUUCUGAUGAUUGGCAAAGCGGUCUGGCUUCUUCCAGAAAUAUUUAUAAAGGCAUAAAUUAAUGGCAUUCCAGUUUCUCAAGGAGAAUGAAAAUAAAAAUCCCCAAACAUUCUAAUUUCUCUAAGAGAAUAUAAACAUAAAAGCAAGAGGGUCCUAACAGUGUCGCUC
rnacentral:lncRNA from 10 species